rnacentral:rRNA from 1 species
AACGAACGCUGGCGGCAUGCCUAACACAUGCAAGUCGAACGAGACCUUCGGGUCUAGUUGCGCACGGGUGCGUCACGCGUGGGAACCUUCCCUUAGGUUCGGAAUACCUCUCCGAAGGGGGUGCUAAUACCGGAUAAUUUCUUCUGACCAAAGAUUUAUCGCCUUUGGAUGGGCCCGCGUUGGAUUAGCUAGUUGGUAGGGUAAAAGCCUACCAAGGCGACGAUCCAUAGCUGGUCUGAGAGGAUGAUCAGCCACACUGGGACUGAGACACGGCCCAGACUCCUACGGGAGGCAGCAGUGGGGAAUAUUGGACAAUGGGCGAAAGCCUGAUGCAGCAAGGCCGCGUGAGUGAUGAAGGCCUUAGGGUUGUAAAGCUCUUUUACCCGGGAUGAUAAUGACAGUACCGGGAGAAUAAGCUCCGGCUAACUCCGUG